rnacentral:rRNA from 1 species
CCUACGGGAGGCUGCAGUGGGGGAUAUUGGACAAUGGGGGAAACCCUGAUCCAGCGACGCCGCGUGAGUGAAGAAGUAUCUCGGUAUGUAAAGCUCUGUCAGCAGGGAAGAAAGAAAUGACGGUACCUGACCAAGAAGCCCCGGCUAACUACGUGCCAGCAGCCGCGGUAAUACGUAGGGGGCAAGCGGUAUCCGGAAUUACUGGGUGUAAAGGGAGCGUAGACGGUGAUGCAAGUCUGGAGGGAAAGGCGGGGGCCCAACCCCCGGACUGGUCUGGAAACUGUGUAACUUGAGUGCAGGAGAGGUAGGCGGAAUUCGUAGUGUAGCGGUGAAAUGCGUAGAUAUUAGGAAGAACACCAGUGGCGAAGGCGGCUUACUGGACUGUAACUGACGUUGAGGCUCGAAAGCGUGGGGAGCGAACAGGAUUAGAUACCCGAGUAGUC